UGCAGACCUGUCACGGUGGCUACUAUGGUUACUUUAGGACUUGCUGACUUCCCCUUACGGAGUAGCUGCAUUCUGAUAUCUGGGAAACUCCGUGCCCAGAUUUCAUGGGUGAAGCCAAUCAAACAUUCAUGGAAGGAAGUUAUUAUUAAGAUUUCAAAAAAAAAAUACAAGAGAAGGGAAACUUUCUAGCCCAUUUCAUAAAUAAAAGUAUUUCUGGUAUAAUGUC